GACGAACGCUGGCGGCGUGCUUAACACAUGCAAGUCGAGCGGUAAGGCCUCUUCGGGGGUACACGAGCGGCGAACGGGUGAGUAACACGGGGGUGACCUGCCCUCAGCUCUGGGAUAAGCCUGGGAAACUGGGUCUAAUACCGGAUAUGACCUUUCCUCGCAUGGGGUUUGGGGGAAAGUUUUUUCGGCUGGGGAUGGGCCCGCGGCCUAUCAGCUUGUUGGUGGGGUGAUGGCCUACCAAGGCGACGACGGGUAGCCGGCCUGAGAGGGCGACCGGCCACACUGGGACUGGGACACGGCCCAGACUCCUACGGGAGGCAGCCGUGGGGAAUAUUGCGCAAUGGGCGGAAGCCUGACGCAGCGACGCCGCGUGGGGGAUGACGGCCUUCGGGUUGUAAACCUCUUUCGACCCCGACGAAUUUGGACGGUAGGGGUAGAAGAAGCACCGGCCAACUACGUG
rnacentral:rRNA from 1 species